UGCUUGCUAUCGCAGCUACACUGUAAAAUUGGAAUGAUACGGAGAAGAUUAUCAUGGCCCCUGAGCAAGGAUGGCACGCAAAUUAGUGAAGCAUUCUAUAUUUUA
rnacentral:snRNA from 1 species